AUGGGGUGCAGCAGGCGAGAAAACUUUGCAAUGUGCGAAAGCACGACAAGGUUAAUCCGAGUGAUUCCUGCUAAAGGAAUCUUUUGUUAGUCGUAAAACCACUAUUGAAUAAGGGGUGGGCAAGUUCUGGUGUCAGCCGCCGCGGUAAAACCAGCACCUCAAGUGGUCAGGAUGAUUAUUGGGCCUAAAGCAUCCGUAGCCGGCUCUGUUAGUUUUCGGUUAAAUCCAUAUGCUCAACAUAUGGGCCGCCGGGAAUACUACAAAGCUAGGGAGUGGGAGAGGUAGACGGUACUCCGUAGGAAGGGGUAAAAUCCUUUGAUCUAUGGAUGACCACCAGUGGCGAAGGCGGUCUACCAGAACACGUCCGACGGUGAGGGAUGAAAGCCGGGGGAGCAAACCGGAUUAGAUACCCGGGUAGUCCCAGCUGUAAACUAUGCAAACUCAGUGAUGCAUUGGCUUGUGGCCAGUGCAGUGCCGCAGAGAAGUCGUUAAGUUUGCCGCCUGGGAAGUACGUACGCAAGUAUGAAACUUAAAGGAAUUGGCGGGGGAGCAC
rnacentral:rRNA from 1 species